ACGAACGCUGGCGGCGUGCCCAACACAUGCAAGUCGAACGGUUGAGAGGUGAGAGUUGGGAGGUUAGAAGUGAGAGCUUGAAGGUAUUGGCCAACAUGCCAAUACCAGCAAUGAAGUCUCACAUCCCGCUUCCCACAUCUCACUUCUCAAUAGUGGCGGACGGGUGAGUAACGCGUGGGCAACCUACCCAUCAGACUGGGAUAACACCGGGAAACUGGUGCUAAUACCGGAUACGCUUAUGGAGGGGCAUCCCUUUGUAAGGAAAGAAAAUCGCUGAUGGAUGGGCCCGCGUCUGAUUAGCUAGUUGGUUGGGUAGUGGCCUACCAAGGCGACGAUCAGUAGCCGGCCUGAGAGGGUGACCGGCCACACUGGGACUGAGACACGGCCCAGACUCCUACGGGAGGCAGCAGUGGGGAAUAUUGCGCAAUGGGGGAAACCCUGACGCAGCAACGCCGCGUGAGUGACGAAGGCCUUCGGGUCGUAAAGCUCUGUCGACAGGGACGAAUAGAUGACGGUACCUGAGGAGGAAGCCCCGGCUAACUACGUGCCAGCAGCCGCGGUAAUACGUAGGGGGCGAGCGUUGUCCGGAAUUAUUGGGCGUAAAGGGCGUGUA
rnacentral:rRNA from 1 species